rnacentral:rRNA from 1 species
UGGGGAAUAUUGCACAAUGGGCGAAAGCCUGAUGCAGCCAUGCCGCGUGUAUGAAGAAGGCCUUCGGGUUGUAAAGUACUUUCAGUUGUGAGGAAGGGGGUGUCGUUAAUAGCGGCAUCUCUUGACGUUAGCAACAGAAGAAGCACCGGCUAACUCCGUGCCAGCAGCCGCGGUAAUACGGAGGGUGCGAGCGUUAAUCGGAAUUACUGGGCGUAAAGCGCAUGCAGGUGGUUCAUUAAGUCAGAUGUGAAAGCCCGGGGCUCAACCUCGGAACUGCAUUUGAAACUGGUGAACUAGAGUACUGUAGAGGGGGGUAGAAUUUCAGGUGUAGCGGUGAAAUGCGUAGAGAUCUGAAGGAAUACCAGUGGCGAAGGCGGCCCCCUGGACAGAUACUGACACUCAGAUGCGAAAGCGUGGGGAGCAAACAGG